CCAGGAGUUGAGUUUUCUCCUGCCAAAAUACUGCCCUAUUUGGGAUCUCUAGAGGAUGUAUCCAAACAAAUCUGACUGCUAACAGGAGCCCUUCUGGAGUGCUUCUCUCAAGCCCGCCAAAAGAAGCAUAGGAUUAGAAGCUUCUCCAGUGCUAGAGGGCACUGUGUGUCCUGGGCCACGUCUGGGGUUCCAAGGCAUUCUGAUGAUGGCUCAGCCAGCCUGCAACCAGCCACAUCUCACCAGCCCCUGGCAAUCUCAUCCACAGGUGUAAAGCUGGCAGUCAACUGUACUUGUCUUCUGCUUGCUGUCUGCUGCUUCCUGUAAAGCUUGAUACACACUGAGGUAAGACUUAAAACCACAGGGUCUGUGGUUUACAUUGUGUUGACUUUUCCCAUCAGAAAAAUCUGUACUGUUAGAUAGCUUAUUGGCUUCUAAUUACAAAAUACAUCAUUUCAGUAGUUAAUUAUGCUUCCACAUUUCUUUUCCCUUGUAGGUACGUCUCCUUUUUCUAAGCCUUAUCAAUUCAAUUUCUCAUUUAUGUGGAUUUAACUCUGUUUAAAGGGAAGGAUGCCGAGUGCUUUAAAUAAUACAUUCUUAAAGAGAAGAUGAACUGGAGUGGUGUGGUAUACUGGCAAGCUGAUUCACUGCCUUAGCGAUUCUCAGCACCAGCAUGGUCAGAGACAUGGACAGCAGAGGGGGAAGCGGAGCAGAAGAUGACUACUACAAAGUAAUUUGGCCUGUGGAAAGUGAAAUGGCAGCAACUGUUUUCUGAUUGACUGUUGUGUGAAAAAGAGGUCAAGUCAGGAGACCGUGCUGCACAGGGCCUUUGCUGUCCAGCUCACACCCAUGAGCUCCCAGAGCUCUGAUCCUGA